GACGAACGCUGGCGGCGUGGAUUAGGCAUGCAAGUCGAACGGUAGGAUACCUUCGGGUAUCUGAGAGUGGCGAACGGGUGAGUAACACGUAGGUGAUCUACCCUCAAGAUUGGGACAACCCAGGGAAACUUGGGCUAAUACCGGAUGAAAGCAGCAGUGAUGUUGUUUGAAAGGUGGCGUAAGCUGCCGUUUGGGGAUGAGCCUGCGCUCUAUUAGUUAGUUGGGCGGGGUAAAGGCCCACCAAGGCGAUGAUAGAUAGGCGGCCUUAACGGGUGGUCGCCCACACUGGGAUUGAGAUACGGCCCAGACUCCUACGGGAGGCAGCAGUCGAGAAUAGUCUACAAUGGCCGAAAGGCUGAUAGUGCGACGCCGCGUGAACGAAGAAGCCCUUCGGGUGUAAAGUUCUUUUAUAUGUGAGCAGUGCUUUCUAUGUGAACAGCAUGGGGAGAGAGAUAUUAGCAUAUGAAUAAGCAACGGCUAACUCCGUCCAGCA
rnacentral:rRNA from 1 species